AUUUACUUCUCAUAUUUGGUCAGGUGCCUGUAAAAGAAGCUUUUCUGGCCAGGCCAGUACUCAUCUGAUGUUAUAUCCGAUCUGGGUCGCCGUGUCACUUCUGCCCCGCUCUCCGCAUGACUCUUCACAAGGGGGGCGGUCUCUGCCGCGAUCAUGUGAUCGUGGUACAGGAUAAGCAUAGUGAGGCCCCCUCACGGAUCAUGGCCGGUAUUACUCUAUGUAUUCUACAGGGAUAUUUAUUGAGUAAACAGAGCAACUGUUGUCUAAUAGGUCCUUUCCAAACAGAAUAUGGUGCGGGAAUAUGGGUCUCCUCACAAGAUUUCUGACAGAGAAGUGAAAAGCAUAAUCAGAAGAGUUGUCCAAGAGCCAAGGACCACGUGUGGAGAGCUUCAAAAAGACCUGGAAUUAGCAGCGCCACUACAGGACAGAAAGAAGUAUUACACAAUGGGCUGUCCAUGUAAUCACUGGAUCGGAGAAAAUCCGUUCAACACCUAGCCUGCGUGUAGAACAUUUCAUUGAGAAGCAUUCAGAGGCAGCAAUGGAAAUGCACAGAUCUGUUAUUGAUGAACGCAUCCUGCAAGGCGGAGGCUGAGGCAUUUCCGGAGUUCUCUUCGUAGUUAUCCCCGUUGGGAUUUUCCUGUUCGGUCCGCUGGGUCCGGUUCUUCGGAGUUCGAUGGAGCUAGUUCGAGCUUGGGUCCAGUUCAGAAUCCCUGUUGCGACUGCAGAUUCGCAGCAAGAAAGAGGAGGAGAUUAAGGAGGCAGCCCAUUAUAUACCAGCUGUCCUGUUCCAGGAUUGACCGAACCAUCCAGAGGGCUGCUGGGAGUUGUAGUUUUAAGCUCUAAAGUUUUUUUCUAGUUGAAUUCACUAAAGUAAAGUUGAAUUUCUGCUAUGGGC